CCUACGGGAGGCUGCAGUGGGGAAUUUUGGGCAAUGGGGGAAACCCUGACCCAGCAACGCCGCGUGAAGGAUGAAGUAUUUCGGUAUGUAAACUUCGAAAGAAUAGGAAGAAUCAAUGACGGUACUAUUUAUAAGGUCCGGCUAACUACGUGCCAGCAGCCGCGGUAAUACGUAGGGACCAAGCGUUGUUCGGAUUUACUGGGCGUAAAGGGCGCGUAGGCGGCGCUGUAAGUCACUUGUGAAAUCUCCGGGCUUAACUCGGAACGGCCAAGUGAUACUGCAGUGCUAGAGUGCAGAAGGGGCAAUCGGAAUUCUUGGUGUAGCGGUGAAAUGCGUAGAUAUCAAGAGGAACACCUGAGGUGAAGACGGGUUGCUGGGCUGACACUGACGCUGAGGCGCGAAAGCCAGGGGAGCAAACGGGAUUAGAUACCCGUGUAGUC
rnacentral:rRNA from 1 species